rnacentral:rRNA from 1 species
CUGAAAGAGGGGCCCGCGUCUGAUUAGCUUGUUGGUAGGAUAAAAGCCUACCAAGGCUUCGAUCAGUAGCUGGUCUGAGAGGAUGAUCAGCCACACUGGGACUGAGACACGGCCCAGACUUCUACGGGAGGCAGCAGUCGGGAAUAUUGGACAAUGGAGGAAACUCUGAUCCAGCAAUGCCGCGUGUGUGAUGAAGGCCCUAGGGUUGUAAAGCACUUUCAACGGUGAAGUUGAU